rnacentral:sRNA from 1 species
GUCACCGAGAGUGGGCGGGCCAUUUCUUGUUCUCCCUCCCGCUCUCGGAAGCUUUCGUCCCGUGGGUGCGAAAGGUAACCGAAGUGGCUCAGGAAGGCAGCUGUCACUGAGCCUCUGGAAGAGAGCGAGAGUAUCGAAGUGAGUGCUUUUGGUGAGGAAGGUGAAGGUGAUUAUCUGGAUGACUGGACAGUACUCUGUAAUGGACCCUACUGGGUGAGAGAUGGUGAGGUGCGGUUCAAACACUCUUCCACUGAGGUACUGCUGUCUGUCACAGGAGAACAAUAUGGUCGACCUAUCAGUGGGCAAAAAGAGGUGCAUGGCAUGGCCCAGCCAAGUCAGAACAACUACUGGAAAGCCAUGGAAGGCAUCUUCAUGAAGCCCAGUGAGUUGUUGAAGGCAGAAGCCCACCAUGCAGAGCUAUGAAUCUAGAGGCUCUGAGCCACUGUUAAUGCACAAUGUUCACAGACGUCUGUUGCUGCCUCACCUUGGGAUCCCUGUCACAAGUUCCUUGGGCAGUGGCCGUGUUACCAUUGAGAUGAAGAUAUACAACAGAAAAUAGUGGCUGUGUUUGGAAACUUCAGCCCCGCAUACUUGAACUAGUCACUCUCCCAGAUUUGCGUGGGUCAGUUCUUUCUGAGUAGAGGACUUGCUGGUAAAGGGGCAGAUGCUUUUUAUUCAUACUGAUAAACUGAGGGGAACAUCCCUCUUAGCUGGGAAACUUUUUACUCUUCAGGAGCUUGGCAUCAUGGACUGUUUAUGUGAUUUUUCCCCUAUUUUCUCUCUCCAAAAUGAUAAAAACAAUAAUUUUAUUAUGA